AAUAAGCGCAACUAUGAGUUUCCGUGUCCAACUUUAAUCGUAUGUUUUAUUUGAAAAAAAUUAUGAUUAGUAUUUUUAUAGUUAUUAGAUUAUAAUACAUGAAUAGUACUUUAUGUGUGACUUAUGUUUUUUAUUUUUUUCAAAAAAAUUAAAUAAAACGAACGAUUAAAGUUGGUCACGGAAACUCAUAGCUGCGCUUAUU
rfam:Oryza barthii chromosome 8, whole genome shotgun sequence.